rnacentral:lncRNA from 1 species
CAUUAGAAAAAGUAGUUGCGUAUUUUGCCAGUGUAUCAGCUACUGUGUUGGCUUCUCUGUAGCAAUGUUUAACAAUAAUACCAUGUUGUUGAACUUUUAAUUGUAUGACCUCAACAAUGUUCUGUAAUCUUCAUGGAGCUUUAGCUUUGCCUAAUAUCAUGUCUACCAAGAUCAUGGAAUCCAGUUCAAGAAUAAAAUUAGACCAUUGGUUAUUACAACACCAGGUAAUUCCAAAUAAAGGUGUUUGGGCUUCACUAUAAUUGUUAGUAAGGAAUUGAAUUGGUUUGGCAAAGGCAAU